CGGUGAGGUGCAAUAGAUUUUACCUUACCAAUUAGCUAGGUACAACAUGCAUACGAAUAAAACCAACCAUAUCCAUGUUUGUUUUGAAAAAUUUAUCGGUUAUCUUAUUUCAUUUAUCUUUAUUUAAAAUGAGUAUUAUCGCUUCUGGUGUCUAUGACUGCCAUAAAACUCUUUUGCAUUUAAAAAAUCUACGUAUUUUGCGUAGAAAACUAUUCUACACCUGUUACACCAUUUUCGACAUUUUCUUUCGGGAUGGCCUUAUACCCUUCUUCAAUGGCGAAUCAAUAUAGUCCCAGAUUGCCUCGAUGGGAUUGAGAUCGGGUCUCUGUGAUGGCAAAACUAUCCUUGCGAUGUUCCCUAGAAUAUAUUUUUUUACAUUUUAAGUUGAAGAUAAUUGUAUGAAUAAUGAUUCUGCAAAUCAAAAUCAUGUUAUAAAAAUUAGUUACCAAAUUUCUCUUUUUAUUCUAUAUCAUUUCUUCAAAAUGUAAAUGAAAGUUUAGUGUCGUUAUCCUCCUGGAACACAAAUCUUAUCAGUCGUUUUCCCUCUGAAAUGGCUGUUUGAACUAAUAUGGAAUAAAAGCCUUUUUGAUCCAUUAUUCCAAUGACUCUUUUAUGUCGUGUAACACCUUUAUUUUAUAAACCAUCUGACACCAUGAUGCUCCCACUACCGUGCUUUAUUGUCGGUAAGAGUCAUUCCUUGCUGAAUCUUUCACAAGGCUGUCCACCGUGACGGCACAGCUUUUGUGAUUUUUAAUGGUGAUGCCAGGGGAAGUACGCAGAGUAAUUCAAGUCACUGUGGUUCAAAGAAUAGAAAGAAUUCUAUCUGUGAAGUACAACACUUAAUGUGGAUUCAUGUUCUAAAAAAAGAAAUAAUGUUACUUCGUUUACAGAAGUUUUAAACAGUAUAGAGGCAAUUCACUUCGCGGUUUCGCGUGUCAAUUGUUUCUGCGUCCGCCAUUUUUGCUGGUUGGUAUUGUUUUUAUUCUCAUUGUUUGUAUAGGGUGAUGUUAAAAUUUUUGAAUGCAAAUAACAUUUGUGGAAAAGCAGUGUAGUUUUUUGUUAUUUUUAUUCCAGCAUCUAAUGUCUACAUCUCUUGUUAAGUAUUUGUUUAAAUUUGUGUUAAUGGACCUAUAUGGUUUUAUUUUUAAAAAAUAUUUGGUUCAGGGCUGUCAUGGGUGACAACGUAUUUGAAAUCGAAAUUCUCGAGUCAGAUUCCUUGCUCGAAGAAGAAUCUGUGUUAAAUACCGAUGUUCAAAUAAUCAACUUAUCUAACUUGACAAUUUAUGCAUCCACAUUGCAGCAUGAAGAUAGGUGUUGGUAUGCAGCCAAACUAUUAUUAGUAGUGAAAAAAGACUCAGGUUACCAAUCUGGAUUUGGUGAAUUACCUCAUCUGCUCCAAGUCUCCUUACACCCAUGAAGACCUUAAGGCAUAAAAGGGACUUGAGGCUUAUAAAAGAUUCAUCGACUGUGGUAUAGGUUCAUUGUAUGUGCUAAGCCUGCUCAACAAAAAUGUGUUAUUGAAAGCAAAGGUUCGUCAUUCUAUGAGCAUUAAUGAUACACCAGCCCAGCCAUGGGCUGCAUUCAAUUCAGCUGGCGUAGUCAUUGCUGGACACUGCAAUUGCACAGCAGGGUAUGUUUAAUUUGAAAUUUAGAUUAUAAUGUGUAAAGUGAUACGUAGUAUUUACCAAAAAAAACAUUGCAGUUUAGGUGAGGUACAAAAACAGGUUAGGUGAGAACAAAAACACGAUUAACAUAAUUGUCAUAACUUACCUAGCACAAAAUGUGAAUCAAAAACUGUAUAGUUAUUCGUAACUUUCUUAUCAACUAGAUUCAGUCUUUUUAACCAGACUGCUCUUCGUCUUUUUUCCUAUUUCCAAUUCUUCUUUCCCUAGAUUUUUACGAAUACAGGGGACAUAAAAAAAACGCACACUUUUAUCCCUGCUUGAUUUUUUGCAACCUGGAGCACAACAAUACUGGAAACCCAUGACUGCCCUAAACAAAAUAUGUUUUUAAAUUAAACAAUAAAGGUCCAUUAACACAAAAUUUUUACAGAUACUUA
rnacentral:lncRNA from 1 species